AUCAGUUAAGCCUCGAAUGGUUCCAGAAAACCAACCUGGUUUUCCGGAUCAAAAGGGAAUGCGACGGGAUGGACCCAAUCCGGGCAUCUUUAUCGCAGCCGACCCCGCGACUGUAGAGCGGCAAGGCAAAUGUCACCGGCCCGGGAGGCCCGGAUGACGGGGGACAAUGGUGUUUUCCGCAAAUCCGAAACUCCGGACCGGGCUGGCCACUGGCGUGGCGGCAUGAUCAACCGGCGUGGACGCCUCUUUUUCUACGAAUCGUCCCGCUUUCAUGACCGCCAGACGCGCCGGGAAGGUGGGCAUUUGCCGUUGCGCGAUGGAAACAUCGUGCUGGACCCGCGAGCCAGGAGACCUGCCAUUCGCACCGGUUGAGAG
rnacentral:ncRNA from 1 species